CCCGCAGGGCUCCGGGCGGCCGUGACCCUGCUGGAGUGCGGGGGGGACCUCCAGACCCCCGGGGGGUCCCUGACUCUGCUCUGCCGCGGGUCUGGAUUCGAUUUUGGGAGUUUUGGAAUGGGUUGGAUCCGCCAGAGCCCCGGGAAGGCGCUGGAAUACGUCGCGGGGAUCAGCAGCAGUGGCAGCAGCACCAGCUACGCACCGUCUGUCAAGGGUCGUUUCACAAUCUCCAGGGACAAUGGGCAGAGCUCGGUGACGCUGACCAUGAACAACCUCAAGGACGAGGAUUCCGCCGUUUAUUUCUGUGCCAAACGUUACAACAGUGGUUAUGUUGCUGCUGGUGCUACUCUUGUUGGUUUUGGUGACAAUGCCGGUUGUGACUCCAAGACCCCAUUGUUGGGUCCCCAAAUGCUGCAAAAUGUCCAAAUCCUUCUCUGA